GAGGGUAUAGCUCAGGGGUAGAGCGCCUGCUCAGCAUGCACGAGGUCCUGGGUUCAACCCCUAGUAUUGCCA
rnacentral:tRNA from 1 species